rnacentral:rRNA from 1 species
AUUGAACGCUGGCGGCAGGCCUAACACAUGCAAGUCGAACGAGUGGCGGACGGGUGAGUAAUGUCUGGGAAACUGCCUGAUGGAGGGGGAUAACUACUGGAAACGGUAGCUAAUACCGCAUACCAUCGGAUGUGCCCAGAUGGGAUUAGCUAGCGGGUGGGGUAAAGGCUCACCUAGGCGACGAUCCCUAGCUGGUCUGAGAGGAUGACCAGCCACGCUGGAACUGGUACACGGUCCAGACUCCUACGGAAGGCAGCAGUGGGGAGUAUUGCACAAUAGGCGCAGGCCUGAUACAACCAUGCCGCAGGUGUGAAGAAGGCCUUCAGGUUAUAAAACACUUUCAGCGAGGAGGCGUUACUCGCAGAGGAAGCACCGGCUAACUCCGUGCCAGCCGCCGCGGUAAUAC